AACGACUGACCUCUGGUGAUCCGCCUGCCUCGGCCUCCUAAAGUGCUGGGAUUACAGGUGUAAGCCACUGUGCCCGGCUUUAAUUUUUAAUUUCUAUCACAGAACAAACAUUUGCCAGUGGAGACUGCCAAACUGUUUCUAUGACUGUCUCUCCUAGCUAUUUUCAGAUACUGACAAGGCAUAAUGUGUGAGGACUAAUAAGAUUCUUUGUACUAAUAUACUUUGUUUUCUUCAGUGGCAGUUCAGACAGAGGGUACAAAAGCUGAUCUUUUAGCUGGUUCAAGUCUGUAUUAAAAAUUUAAACCUGUACAGGAUUUCUAAUCACUUAACACAUUUUCCAAUGGGGAAGAAGCUUGUACUAGGUAUAAAAUGCUGUGUAAAUCCUUGAUUUAAAAAAGAAUUUACUUAAUUUGGCCUGUUUAAAUAUUGUACUUUGGCCCUAGUCUCUUGUCCCACUUGUGCUUAAGUAAACAAAAAUGUAUUAACCAUUUCAGCUGAUGUAAGUAGGCAGGCAUCUUGUGUUCACAUUUAUAUAAUCAGAAGCAAAAACUUUGUAAGCUAUGUAUUUACUUGGUUGGACUGAAUGUGUGUGUGUGUAUUUGUACAUA